AUGCUGUAGCCCUGUAGAGAAUGAAGUCUGAAGAAUGAAGAGAACAGUGAUGCAGAAAAUCAAAAGAAAGAAAAGGGAAGUUAAUAUGCAGAACAGAACUAGGACGUGACCCCCUGUUAUACAACCAAAAGUUUGAAUGUGUGCUGACCAGAGAAAAGCAAGACACUCUGUAAAGUCUGCUUCAAGAGUUAAAACUCAACUACUGUGACUUGAUCUAGAGACGUUUUGCAGGUUCUCCUUGGUUAUUGGACAUGCGAGGUCUACUCUUGUCAAGAAAACCACUUGAGGAAUUUCUGUAGCAUAAUCAGGAAACACACACAUAACAAUUCAGUCACUUUAGUGUAAAACCAGUCUGAUCUGAUUAAUAAUUAAUUUAUUGGAUUUUAUGUUUCUGUGCUAGAAUUUCUGCCAGCCAAAAUGUAUUUAUUCU